CCAUUUUUGUUAAUUUGUUGUUGAUUUUUGUUUUGUUUUGGUUUUGGUGUUGAGAAAAUGUAGUGGACAAGUUAAAAAAAAUGUGCACAAUAACAGUACUUAUACAAAAACCAAGGACAAUUAACUGAAUGAGAGCACAUUUCAAAUGAGUGUCCUUAAAACUGAACCUUAGUAAUCAAUAAAGCCAAUGAGAUGAAAAGAAAAUAUCAUAACGAGUCAAUGAAAAUUUACAGCAAAAGUAAGUAGACUGCUCAAAGCAAGUUUUGAAUCUGAUUGUUUCAGAGGAUAGCACAAGUUUUCUCAUGCAGGUGUAAAUCUGGCAUAAAUUAAGCCUGAAAAUCAUCAGAUUACAGCUGGAUGUGUUAUUUUCCUUAAACUGAAUUUUCUUUUCUGAUUGCCUCUGGUGAUAAGAAUGAUGUAUGUACAAAAUUUGAUCAAAGUGUACAUAUUUACAUAUGUGUGGACCAAGGACAAUAUUAAAUCACAAAAAUUGCAUCAAUUGCAUAUACAUGUAAUUUCUUCAUGGGAUAUUUAAUGAAUUACCAUUGUGCUGCCUAUCAUUGUUUUAAAUUUUUAAAUCAAGAUUAUUAUUAAGUGUCAGGAAUUAAUUGCCAUGAAUAAAAGUGAAAAAAACUGAAACCAUUGAAAGAAUUAAUGAAUCUGAUGAAGGAAGCAUGUACAAUGUUGUGGCCAAUUGCCCUUCAGCCCUCAAAGAAAUUAGUCAUCCUGUACAAUUUGUGGGUCUCAGCAGUGAUGAUGUGACUCUACCUGUCUGCUAUGUGGAUGGAGAUCAAACUGUCAUAUAUUUGUACAAUAUUCCAACACUUGGAAGCUCUGUAUGUUGUACUUUUGUAGAACUGUUUAUCAUGACACCAGAAUCUGUUUCUGCGGGUUUGCAUAAUAAAAUUAAAGAAGCAA